UACGGAGGGAGCUAGCGUUGUUCGGAUAUACUGGGCGUAAAGCGCACGUAGGCGGCGCAGCAAGUCAGGGGUGAAAUCCCGGAGCUCAACUCCGGAACUGCCUUUGAAACUGCAGUGCUAGAAUCCUGGAGAGGCGAGUGGAAUUCCGAGUGUAGAGGUGAAAUUCGUAGAUAUUCGGAGGAACACCGAUGGCGAAGGCAAUCCCCUGGACCUGUACUGACGCGCAUGCACGAAAGCGUGGGGAGCAAACAGG
rnacentral:rRNA from 1 species